UACGUAGGGACCGAGCGUUGUCCGGAUUCAUUGGGCGUAAAGAGCUCGUAGGCGGCUGUUCAAGUCGAACGUGAAAACUCGGAGCUCAACUCCGAGCCUGCGUUCGAUACUGGACGGCUAGAGUCUGGUAGGGGGAUCUGGAAUUCCUGGUGUAGCGGUGGAAUGCGCAGAUAUCAGGAGGAACACCGGUAGCGAAGGCGGUGCUCGUGGCCAGUAACUGACGCUGAGGAGCGAAAGCGUGGGGUAGCAAACAGG
rnacentral:rRNA from 1 species